UAAUUUGAGCGAUCAAGCGGCUCGUUCACGCAAACCGAGGACUUUCGAAGUCCGUAGAGACGCGUACUGACAGGUCUCGACGUACCGGAGUCCGUGCUCAUGAUCCGGAGCACAGCGGCUGGCUGUGGGAAGCGCGGGAGCAACCCGAAGGUUCAGCAAAUAGCGCGCAGUCAGGGAAGAUCGCGCCGAACAGAACUAACCGGACACUUCUGAUCCAAAGUGAGGUGAGCACUGUGAUCAGCACUGACCAACGAUCACCGUUCUCACCUCCAGAGGCAUCAGGACAGCCUCGGAUCGCCGGAUAAGCGUGCGCAAGCCCAAAACAGCAGCCAAACAGGCUGAAACGGAGCGACAUCGCCAAAACAGCGGAACGGAGUCUCCCCGACAGAAACUAAGGUGAGCACGAUGAUCAGAAACUUGCCAGGAUCAUCGUGCUCCCUUCCGUAGAGAUCGGGGAAGCUCA
rnacentral:lncRNA from 1 species